AACGAACGCUGGCGGCAUGCCUAACACAUGCAAGUCGAACGAGACCUUCGGGUCUAGUGGCGCACGGGUGCGUAACGCGUGGGAACCUGCCCUUAGGUUCGGAAUAACUCCCCGAAAGGGGUGCUAAUACCGGAUAAUGUCUUCGGACCAAAGAUUUAUCGCCUUUGGAUGGGCCCGCGUUGGAUUAGCUAGUUGGUAGGGUGAAAGCCUACCAAGGCGACGAUCCAUAGCUGGUUUGAGAGGAUGAUCAGCCACACUGGGACUGAGACACGGCCCAGACUCCUACGGGAGGGAGCAGUGGGUAAUAUUGGACAAUGGGCGAAAGCCUGAUCCAGCAAUGCCGCGUGAGUGAUGAAGGCCUUAGGGUUGUAAAGCUCUUUUACCCGGGAUGAUAAUGACAGUACCGGGAGAAUAAGCUCCGGCUAACUCCGUG
rnacentral:rRNA from 1 species